CCUACGGGAGGCAGCAGUGGGGAAUAUUGGGCAAUGGGCGCAAGCCUGCUCCAGCCACGCCGCGUGAAUGAAGAAGGCUCUCGGGUUGUAAACUUCUUUCAUCAGGGAAGAAUCAAAUGACGGUACACGAUGACUCAGCCACGGCUACCUACGGGCCAGCAGCCGCAGUAAUAAGUAGGUGGCCAGCGUCAUCCGGUUUUACUGGGAGUAGAGGGCGUGUAGGCGGGACAGUUCGUCAGAUGUGAAGUCCAUGGGCAUAACCCGGGAACUGCAUUUGAACUUGUGUGGCUGGAGUGCUGGUUGGGCAGGAGGAAUGCCUAGUGUAGCGGUGAAAGGCGUAGAGAUGAGGAGGAACACCGGUGGCGAAGGCGGUUUACUGGACUGCAACUGACGUUGAGGCGCGAAAGCGUGGGGAGCAAACAGGAUUAGAUACCCGGGUAGUC
rnacentral:rRNA from 1 species